rnacentral:rRNA from 1 species
UUUUUUAAUUGAAAGCUUGUAUGAAUGGUUGAAUGAAAUAUUAACUGUCUCAUGGAAAUUUAUAUUAAAAUUUUAUUUUUUAGUCAAAAAGCUAAAAUUUAUUUAAAGGACGAGAAGACCCUAUAGAGUUUUAUAUAAUUAUUAUUUAUUUUUUAUUAAGAAAUUAAAUUAAAUUUUAUUAAUAGUUAUAUUUUAUUGGGGUGAUAGUUAAAUUUAAUAAACUUUUUAUUGUUUAAAUCAUUAAUAUAUGAAUAGUUGAUCCAAUAAUAUUGAUUAAAAGUUUAAAUUACCUUAGGGAUAACAGCAUAAUUUUUUUUAAAAGUUCAUAUUUAUAAAAAAGAUUGU